UGGGGAAUAUUGGACAAUGGGCGCAAGCCUGAUCCAGCAAUUCCGCGUGGGUGAAGAAGGUCUUCGGAUUGUAAAGCCCUUUCGGCAGGGACGAUGAUGACGGUACCUGCAGAAGAAGCCCCGGCUAACUUCGUGCCAGCAGCCGCGGUAAUACGAAGGGGGCUAGCGUUGCUCGGAAUGACUGGGCGUAAAGGGCGCGUAGGCGGUUUGCACAGUCAGGCGUGAAAUUCCCGGGCUUAACCUGGGGGCUGCGUUUGAUACGUGCGGACUUGAGGAUGAGAGAGGCUCGUGGAAUUCCCAGUGUAGAGGUGAAAUUCGUAGAUAUUGGGAAGAACACCGGUGGCGAAGGCGGCGAGCUGGCUCAUUUCUGACGCUGAGGCGCGAAAGCGUGGGGAGCAAACAGG
rnacentral:rRNA from 1 species